UACGUAGGGGGCUAGCGUUGUCCGGAAUCAUUGGGCGUAAAGCGCGCGUAGGCGGCCCGGUAAGUCCGCUGUGAAAGUCAAAGGCUCAACCUUUGAAUGUCAGCGGAUACUGCCGGGCUAGAGUCCGGAAGAGGCGAGUGGAAUUCCUGGUGUAGCGGUGAAAUGCGCAGAUAUCAGGAGGAACACCCGUAGCGAAGGCGGCACUCUGGGCCGGUACUGACGCUGAGGAGCGAAAGCGUGGGGAGCAAACAGG
rnacentral:rRNA from 1 species